AUUGAACGCUGGCGGCAGGCCUAACACAUGCAAGUCGAGCGGGGUUUUCGGACCUAGCGGCGGACGGGUGAGUAAUGCGUAGGAAGCUGCCCGAUAGAGGGGGAUACCAGUUGGAAACGACUGUUAAUACCGCAUAAUGUCUACGGACCAAAGUGUGGGACCUUCGGGCCACAUGCUAUCGGAUGCGCCUACGUGGGAUUAGCUAGUUGGUGAGGUAAUGGCUCACCAAGGCGACGAUCUCUAGCUGGUUUGAGAGGAUGAUCAGCCACACUGGAACUGAGACACGGUCCAGACUCCUACGGAAGGCAGCAGUGGGGAAUAUUGGACAAUGGGCGCAAGCCUGAUCCAGCCAUGCCGCGUGUGUGAAGAAGGCCUUCGGGUUGUAAAGCACCUUCAGCGAGGAGGAAGGGUGGUGUGUUAAUAGCACAUCAUUUUGACGUUACUCGCAGAAGAAGCACCGGCUAACUCUGUGCCAGCCGCCGCCGUAAGAC
rnacentral:rRNA from 1 species